CUUUGUUUAAUUUAAUUUAAAAUAUUUGCUUGUCAAGUAAAAAACACAUGAAAGUUGUAACAAAAU
rnacentral:tRNA from 1 species